GCUUCCCGGGGUCUGGAUAUGGAUCGUGGGACUGAAAGAGAUGGAAAUAACUGAGUGUCCCAGAGUGCUAGGCCCUGGCAUGUUUCGGCUCACAGCAAUUGUCCCAGGGUAACUGUGCAGACGCCGGUGCUCAUAAACCCUGUUCCUUCCUGCGACCGAUUCUCCCAGGACUUUUGUUCACUGCACACAUGGGCGAUAUUGAGAACGAACAAUGACCUUCACGCCUGCGCAGUAGACCCAAGUCCUUUGAAAUCCACAACAAAAUUGAAAUCGAUAUAUGGAAUACAGAUUGUGCUCGUACGUUAAGAAGAGGCAAUGUGUUAGUCGUGUGCAAGGAUAAGAAACAGUGAUUGAAGACUUUACUUGACGAAAAGGGAAGCAGCUGAGGUGAGCGUAAUUUAUAAAAGUGCGCGCAGCGGGUACUCGGGACAGUGUGAUCGAGAAACCAUGGCAACAGGAAGAGGGGGAGCGAAGGGCUCAUGGGAAAAUUGGCAGAGGUAAGGCCAGGUAAGUUCCUGUAAUUAAAUAACUUAGGAGUAGGUAAUGGAGGCAGCAGUUAGGGUAGUCGAGUGCUCCGUUUGCAGGAUGUCAGAAGUCAGGGACAGCUCAAUUGUCCCUGAUGACUACACCUGUAAAAGGUGCAUCCUGCUGAAGCUCCUGACAAACCGAGUUAGGGAGCUGGAGCUGGAUGAACUUCGGAUCAUUCGUGAGAAAGAGGCAGAAAUAGACAGGAGUUUCAGGGAGAUAGUCACCCCUAAAAUGCAGGAGGCAGGUAGCUGGGUGACUGUCAGGAGAGGGAAGGAGAAUAGACAGGAAGAGUAGAGCACCCCGCGGCCAUUCCCAUCAACAAUAAGUAUACCGUUUUGGAUACUGUUGGUGGGGACGACCUACCAGGGACCAAUUGUAGUGGUUGCAUCACUAGCUCAGAAAGGAAGGAGGGAAAAGAAGAGAGCAGUAGUGAUAGGGGGUUCGAUUGUUAGGGGGACAGAUAAGAGGUUCUGUGGGAGUGAUGGAGAAUCUCGGAUGGUCUGUUGCCUCCCUGGUGCCAGGGUCCGCGAUAUCUCAGAUCGAGUUCUCGGUAUUCUCAGGACGGAGGGUGAGCAGUCAAAUGUAGGGAUCAAUGACUUGGAGAGGAAGGAGAGGUGUAAUAAAAGGUUAUGUUACAUUAUUCAUCAUACUGCAGUGGUAGUGAUUCCUGUUUAAAAAGGGCAUGAAUAGGAGAAAGGCUGUACCAUGGUGGUUUGAGGAGUAUGCAGAGACAGGGAAAUGAGGCAUUUAGGAAAGUUAAGAAGUAUCACUCUCCAUUUGACCUUAUGAAUUUUGCAAAGUAUAGAAGGGUACAGGCUGUGGUGAGGAAAGUGGAGGUCAUAUUGUGGAUCGUAUUGGAAGGGAUAUUAAACUUGGAGAUGUUUGGAGAAUGUUUCAGAGAAUGGGGGUGGGUAGGGGGAAGAUUCACAGAGUUAAUAACAUUCAAGUAUUCCAGAAAGUAAAACAGUAGUUACUGAAAUAGAGAGGGUUGACUUACUGGCUUGGUCAUUUGCUGCAAUUCAUAAUUAAGAUAAUUUAAUUGAAGAGGCUAAACUAAGUAGAGAUAAGGUUUUAAGUGAAUACCCCGAUAAUUAGUGAAGUAGUGUUUUCCUUGUAUGAAUUAAAGAAGGCUUGUAUUAGUAUGGGUCCGGGGUCUCCAGGGAAGGAUCCAUCCUGCUAAAGGGUUUUGGCCUGAAAUAUUGACUGUACAGUCGGCCCUCCUUAUCCGCGAGUUCCACAUGUGCGAAUCGAGAAAACCCGGACGUGCUCUUCCAGCACGUUCUUCGAACAUGUACGGACAUUUUUUUUCUUGUCAUUAUUCCCUAAACAAUGCAAUAUAACAACUAGUUUACAUAGCAUUUACAUUGUAUUAGGUAUAAGUAAUCUAGAGAUGAUUUAAAGUACACAGGAGAAUGUGCGUAGGUAACCGUGGAUUGGGAUAGGAAAAAAUUCGUAAGUUCUCUUACAGUGCAAGUCGGAAUAGGUACAUCUGGUAUUAUUUAGCGUCAGUUAGUCGAACGUUUGUCUUAGUAUAUAUUUUACCUUUCUUUGCACAUAAAACACAAAGUAUGUUUCAGCUCCGGGCUUGGGAAGUUCCCGAGUUCAAUCCAGUGACAGACCACUUCCGAGCGCGCUCUCCUCCAUGCCUGGUUGAUGUGGAGGAUCAAAAACCCAAAACCCAAUAAUUAAACCGCUGUGAUGUUUAGUAAUAAUUGUAGCUUUCAUCGGGGCAGGGCCUUUCUCAUUGACCGACUGUAGCCUAACGCUUUUCCAAUGACCGAUGGCAUUUCACCUCUUUCUGAUUGCUUUAUUAUUUCCACUUUAUUUUCAAUCAUGAUCGUGAUUAUUUUCGGGAACAGAAACACUGCAGCUCGGCUGCUGGGUCCUAAGAACCACCGCAUUGAGACAGGUUAAAUAAGGAACUUGAGCAUCCGCAGUUUUUGGUAUCUGCGAGGGGUCCCGGAACCAAUCCCUCAUGGAUAAGGAGGGCUAACUGUACUUUUUUUCUAUAGAUGCUGCCUGGCUUGCUGAGUUCCUCCGGCAUUUUGUGUAUGUUGCUUGUAUUUCCAGUAUCUGCAGAUUUUCUCUUCUUUAUAAUAAAUGUUGUCGUAUGUUUAACCAUACAGAUCAACUCUCUUGAGAUACUAACAUUUUUGAAUCUUAUUUGGAAUUUAGGCCAGCUUCCCUCCUUGGGAAGGGAAAAUGGUAUUAGUAGUGCGUAUUCUAAAACUUAGGAAAGCCCCAUUGGAUUGUUCUGGUUAUAGACCUGUACUAGACAACAGGGUGACGUGUUGGGGCACCCUUUGAGAGAAUUGAAAUAGAGCUGCCCUGCCCUUUUUGCUGCGCUCGGUGUCGCUGCUGAGACUGGCCGUGCGCAUGCGUCGUGGUGUUGUGUCCCAAUUUCCAUGAAGAUGGAUCAGCUCUCAGGUGUUGAUUCUGGCGAAUGAGUAAUUUUAUACAAAUAUAUAACCCUGAACUUUGCCUGCAUUCUGUAAGUUAGCACAUUUUAAGUUGAUUUAACCAAAAAAUGUGUCGCUGUAAUGCACCGUUUGCACUAAUUGGAGGUCACAAACAGACAGAGCAUGAGAGUUUUAGUAGUAUGUAGAUAGAUCACUAACGUCCCAUUUAUGUAAAUGGUAAUAAAGCAGUUGAAUGAUAUAUUGGAAAAGAGAGGAUAAAGCAUUUUAUCAGAGCGAAUUUCAGAAGGGUACACCAGCAUUGGAUUCAAUUUCAUGUUUAGAAGUGUCAGGAACGGGGGCCGGAUGGACCCAAACGCAGGACGCAGAAACUAAAGUACUAGGAGGAGGACAGGAUGGGGAUGCCAUAGCAUGUAAAGGUUAAUGCAGGCGGGGCUGGAUCCAAGAGUUCAAACCAGGCAGGCAGGAGGAUCCCAGAGUUCAGAUGAGGCAGGCAGGCAGGAGGUCUCCGUCCCACGGCCCCUUAUAAACACCUGGAGCCGAAUUGGCCACAGGUGUGCCUCCUUGAUCCAGGCUGAUCUUAACAGGCUCAAAGAGGCCGGGAGGGACAGCUGCAAGACCUGGAGUCUGGAGCACUCGGACUGGAUCGAGACCCGCACGCGGAUUCUGGACUGGACCGGACCCUGACAAGAAGAUGAUAUUCGGAAAGCACGGGUAAAUUAAGAAGUUGUAAUAGUAUUUUUUUUUAAUUGAAAAAGCCUCUAUUGAAAAAUUAUCCCUUUGAUAAUUUCAACCUUCCAUGCUUUGUCCCAUGCAGAGGCAACACGUGAGGUUAUACAGGCUUCUCCUACCCAAGUUGCCUUUCCCUUGUUGUUCACUGUCCAUACCUGCAUAUCACCCCUCACACCCACAAGAUGAACAAGGCCAUCCUCCUCCUUUCCCUUUGCUGAUCUCUGUGGUGCAUAGUUAGUUAAGUUAGUUAAGGCCAUCACCCCUACUGAGGCAGAAACCAUUGACGAUACCUCACUAGAGUCAUCUGUCCUGGACCAGUCUUUCAAACUGUCCUCUGGCGUAGCCCAUCUUCUUGGUGGAUCCAUGUUGUCCUAGGGCUAAGUUCCUUGGAGCUUUUGCAGCCCUGUGUUUUUACAGGUUGGGGUCAAACCCUCCUCCAUUUGCAACUGGGCUUGGGACUGUCCGCAGAGUUGUGGAACACUGAAUAUGCUGGAAUACUGAGUUCUCAGUCCUGGGCAGCCUGCCACGAUGUCCCUGCAAUAGCUGUAAGAUCAAACUCAUUUGUCACAACACAAUUUAAUGCCUGCGUUCAUUCUUCCUAUUGAUACCCCUCAUGAUAGUGUAUAUUCUGUCAAAUCUCCCCUGAUCUCCUACACUUCAGGGAAUAAAGUCCUAACCUGUUCAACCUCUCUUUAUAAUUCAGGUCCUCAAGUGUCUACUCUUUCAGUCUUAUUGAUAUAUUUUCUAUUCAUAGGUAAUUAGAACUGCAAAUUUGGUCUCACCAAUGUCUUAUACAACUUCAAGAUCACAUCACAACUUCUGUUAAAAGCUGUCUCUAUGACCCUCCUUAGUGACUCCAUUUCCAAGAAAUUAUGGAUCCAUAUUGCCAGCUUCCUCUGUUCUACCACACUCCUCAGUGCCCUACUGAUCGGCCCAUGAAACUGUGUUAACCUUAAUGCCAAUUCAAACUGCAUGUCCUUCUAAUAUAUAUCCCUCCAGUCCCUUUGAGAUGGGUAAAGAGUUAAUUUUGUCCUGCUGACAUGUAAGGAAUUAGCCGUUAAGCUACGCCGCUGGUUUCCUUGUCUCACUUGCAGGAGGUGGUAAUCCAAUUAUACUUUGCUCUCAAUCAUCUAAUCGCGCACAUUGUUCUGGGUGUCUGAACUUUACUUUUGUUUGAGGUGAUCAAGUGAUCUUUGACUCGGACUAUCACGGUUGCUGGGCAUGUGACUGGGGGGGUAGCUAAAAAAUGUUUUCUGCACCCAUGACAAAGAUGAUAUAAAAACUCCGAAUCUCUGUGCUUCAGCAGAGAGACCUCUGUGGCUGACUCUGUGAGAGUGCAGAAGGAGGGUUUUCUCUCAUAGCUUGCUACUAAUAAAGGUGGAAAAGAAUCAACAGUGGUACUUGUUUCAUUACAUCGGGUUGAUCACCGUUGUCAAUUUGGUGAGCCAGCCAGGAGUCCAGAGUGAUCCCCUUGAGACGGCGUCAGCAAUAAUCUGUGCGGCGGCGACCUGAGACGGAUGGGUCCGCAAGGUAAGAUUCACCUUUAUCUCUCUCACUAGUCAGUCGCACAGAAAAUCCAUUCAUCUGAUGGGCGACGCUCUAAUGGACUCCUGCAGAACCUAAUUAUGGAUCACCCAAAUGCCACGGUUAGAGCAAGGUUCGAGUCCUCUGCUAAACAAAAGCGUAAGAGCGCAUUCAAGUCCUCUGCUAAACAAAAGGGAAAGAGCAGGGUUCGAGUCCUCUGCGAAACAAAAAGAGUCAGGUUCAAGUCCCAGUUUGAGGCCGCAUCUUGAGUAUCUACACCCGGCCUUAGACCGGUUGUUAAGAAGGGAAAUCCCCCAUGCGAAUGUCAGGAACUUGAAGUGGGUGAGAGAAAAAAGAGUGGCCGAUUAGUCUUUGAGAGACAAAUAUAUAAAAUCGUACAGAACAAUGGGUCAGUUCUUAGAUAAGUCAGCAAAUAACACACCGUUAUUUAAAUUCUAUAAAGAUGAUCCAGAAAAAGAAAAAAACUAUUGUAGGUUAUCAGCAUGCUUAAAUGAGAAAUUGGGUAAUGAUAUUUGGCCUUGGGGGGAAGCUUGGAAAGUUGAUAAAUGCCUUAAAGUGGAAGAGGCGAUUUGGAAAUGCAACACCGAUCUUAAUGUCUAAUUGGAGAAAAACGGCCGAAGAAUUAACCAAUAGCUCUAAGCAGACCAGCUGGGAGCACAACGCAUGUCGGAGGGGGAUUAGUGUAUGCGUUACCGAAGGGAAUCUGAAGCCUUGGGAGACAUUGAAGAUUAUGACACUCAAAAGCAGAAGAAUUAUAGGCAAGGUAAUAAGGAAAAAACCAAUAAGAAAGGAAAGGAUAAAGGAAGGUUAAAGCCGGCAAAGGUAAAACUGAGGUACCUCUUGACCUGUCUGGUCUGCCCAUGCUAUUUGAUGAUAACAAGAACGAGCAGGAGGAGGACUGGAGAGUUCAACCCAUGACCCCCAUCUACCCCUCCUUUCCACCACCACCAUAUACUGCAAGUACAACCAACAACCGACCUACGCAGAGUGCCUCCCCAAGCCAAUUCCACGAUCCCAUAGCCUCUCGAAUGAGGGGCCAGCUCAAGCAGAGGCAAACAUUUACACGGAUUCCUACUUUCUUUUGGGGUAGCCCAUGACUUUGGACAAUUAUGGGCUCCUGGCCUGCUCUGGUGGACCGAUUCAGAAUGCUACCUAUGUAAAGAACCUCCUUCUGGCUAUCCUCUUCCCUGAAAAAUUGGCAAUUAUAAAAUGCACGGCUCACCUACACGAUGAUUCUGCAGUGACCAAAGGAAAUAAUUGGGUGGACUUAGUAGUCAAGCAGGCUGUGCAAGAGGCAACUAUUGUAGUUUUAACUGCAGAGAAAUUGGCCUUCGCAACAACUAAGUCACCCCAAGCGCCGGGCACUCCAGACAUGGCCACAAUCCAAAAACUAUGGGGGGACGCCCCCUGAUGCAGGGAAAGGACUCUGGAAGGCACACAAUGUGUGCAUUCAGUGUCCACAGGCCUCUGCCAUACCCCAGCAGGGCAAAUCUGUAUUCCUAAUACAUUACUGCCUAUGUUACUUGAUUUGCCUGCAUGCAGACACCCACCUUGGCAAGGAUGGAAUGAGUAAUAUUUUACUUCGCACAUGGUGGCACCCAAGAUUGGAAGAGUCUGCCAAAGCAAAAAUACAACCCUGUUUGAUCUGCCAGAAGACUAAUGCGGGUAAGGGGAUAAGAUGCUCCACAGGGAAAACUCCCUUGCCAGGUGAGCCGUUUGAAUGCAUUCAGCAUGAUUUUAUUGAGUUACCACGGAUGCACUGUUAUAAAUAUUGCCUUGUUGUAGUAGAUGCUUUUAGUAGAUGGAUAGAAGCCUUCCCAACUACCAAUAAUAAAGCCUCAACAGUGGUACCUUGACAGAUUAGUUCAGACAAUGGCCCACAAUUUGUGGGAAAGAUUAACAAGGAGUUGUGUGAGGCCUUGCACAUUGAACAGCAGGUCCAUUGUUCCCAUCACCCUAAAGCAGCAGGUAUUGUGGAAAGGGCAAUUGGCACACUAAAAAAUAAGCUAACAAAAUUGACCUCAGAAACGGGGCUGAAUUGGUUAAAGGUGCUUCCCUUGGCCCUAUAUCACAUGAGAAUUACCCCACACUCUGCUACAGGGGUAUCUUAUACUUAUACUUUAUUGUCACCAAACAAUUGAUACAACAGCGUACAAUCAUCACAGUGAUAUUUGUUUCUGCGCUUCACGCUCCUGAAGUACAAAUUGAAGUAAAUAUAAUAAAAAUUUGAAUUAUAAAUCAUAAUUAGAAAAUAGAAAAGGUAAAGUAAGUAGUGCAAGUCAGGUCCAAAUAUUUGGAAGGUACGGCCCAGAUCCUGGUCAGGAUCUGUUCAGCAGUCUUAUCACAGUCGGAAAGAAGCUGUUCCCGAAUCUUGCCGUAUGAAUCUUCAAGCUCCUGAACCUUUUCCCGGAGGGAAGAGGGACAAAAAGUGUGUUGGCUGGGUGGGUCUUGAACUUGAUUAUCCUGGCAGCAGCACUGCUCUGACAGCAUGUGGUGUAAAGUGAGUCCAAGGAUGGAAGAUUGGUUUGUGUGAUGUGCUGGGCUAUGUUCACAAUUUUCUGCAGCUUAUUCCAAAGUUGGAAAAGGAAAACUUCCAUACCAGGUUGUGAUGCACCCCAGAAGAAUGCUUUCUACGGUGCAUCUAUAAAAAUUAUCUGCGGUGGAGAUUGUCUAUGGGUGACCAGGAAGUACACCCUGGGAUGCCAAUAUAACACCCCUGACUCAGGUGGAUCUGAGUCAUGGAUUCCUCCCAUCAUGUGGGAGGAAUUUUAGAAAUAUUUUCGCCAGUUAACAUCCUCUUUAAAAUUUCUCCAUUCUCAGGUGCAGAAUUUAAGGAACAUUGAAUACACCUCAGCGACUGCAAGAGAUGGCUCCCAGCCCAAGAUUAAUCAUUUACGUACUUACCUCUGUGCUUUAUGUUGAAUUUACUACUUUGGAAGCACCUAUACUAUGGCUACCACCAACCUUCCUCUGCUCUUCGCAAUCGGGACAAUCGGUCCUCUUUCUGUUCCCUGCACCCAAAAGGCCCACAUUCGACAGCGACUGACAGCCCGAUCUGUGAGUAAGGCAUUCUGUGCAGAUUGGAAAGAUCCCAUUACUCUGGGCUCCUCCUUGGACCAUGGGUUUAUGAGUACUCUCUCUCUAGGGGGUUCGGCAGGAACCAUAGUCGCAAAGACCCAUAGCUGCCUCAUUUGUGGGCUGGUGGCACUGGGAAACCGCACUAUGAAAGGAUUGGAAGUUACCAACCAGGAGAUGACGGAACUACAAGUCUGUGCACAGCAGACUCGAUAUGUGGUGGAUUACCAGUUAGCACAACAGGGAGGAGUAUGUGUGAUUGUGGGCAACAAGUGUGUACCCAUGUUAAGAAUGAGUCCUAUAAUGUAUCUCAUGCUAUCCAUGAAAUCCAGGAGCAACUAGAUAGUUUUAGACAAGGACCCAUUGGAGGGAAUAGGUAAUGGGUGGUUAGGCUGAUUACUAGGGGGAUCUUGGACUGAUAGCAUAGCAUUCUGUGUAUUGCUGACUUACUUUAACCCCUGCUGUAAGGUCUUUAUGAACAAGCUCUCUGAUACAUUCUCAGCACUAGGUCACUAUGGAAUGAUAAAGGGAGGGAAUGAGAUGGUAUAGAGUUAAUUUUGUUCUGUUGACAUGUAAGAAAUUAGCCGUUAAGCUGUACCACUUGUUUCCUUGUCUCACUUGCAGGAGUUGGUAAUCUAAUUAUACUUUGCUCUCAAUCAUCUAAUUGCGCACAUUGUUCUGGGUGUCUGAACUUUACUUUUGUUUGAGGUGAUCAAGUGGUCUUUGUCUCGGACUAUCACUGUUGCUGGGCAUGUGACUGUGGAGGAUAGCUAUAAAAAAUGUUUUCUGCACCCGUGACAAAGAUGAUAUAAAAACUCUGUAUCUCUGUGCUUCGGCAGAGUUACCUCUGUGGCUGACUCUGUAACAGUGCAGAAGGCAGGUUCUCUCUCAUAGCUUGCUACUAAUAAAGGUGGAAAAGAAUCAACUGUGUGAAUCUCAUCUGCACCCUUUCCAGAGUGUCCAUUCUUCCUAUAAUGUCACACCCAGAAAUGCACACAAUACUCCAAGAAUUGUCUGACUCCUGUUUUAUAGUGGUGCAGUGUGAAUUCCUUAUUCUUGUCUUCAACACCCCUGUUAAUGAAGUUUGCUAUGUACCUUAUCCAGCAGUGUAACCACUUUCAUUGAACGAUGGACCUGGAACUGUUCCCUCUGUCACACAUUGCUAUUAAGGGAUUUACCAUUCACUGUAUACUUUGCUUUCAUUUGACAUCCCAAAGUGCAACUUCACACACUUUCCAGGAUUAAGCUCCAUCAGCCACUUUUCAGCUCAUAUCUGUAACUGAUCCAUAUCCCACUAUCUUCUUUGAUAGUCCUUUACACACAAAUUCCACCAAUUUUCAAAUUUCAAAGAAAAUUUAUUACCAAGAUAUGAAUCUGUCACCGUCUACUACCCGGAGAUUUUCUUGCAGAUGUUCAGAACAGAACAAUAAACUACAAUAAAACUAAUGAAGAACUACAUACGAAGACUGACAAACAAGCAAUGGGAAAGAAGACAAUCUGUGCAAAUCAAUCAAUCACACCAAUAAUAUGAUUUGUAGAGACCUUCAAAGUGAGUCUGUAGGUGUAUAAAUGUGGAGUAUAUAAGAUGAGUGAUCAAUCUAUUUUCCAGGUGUGGGGAGAUUUAAAUAGAAAGGGGAAAGAUUUAAAGGGGACAUGAAGGAAAAAAUUUUCACCGCAAGAGUGGUGGGUAGGUGGAACAAGCUGCCAGAUGAAGUGGUUAUACGUGGAUACAAUUAUACUUAAAAGGUAUUUAGAUAGGUACAUUGAUAGGAAAGAUUCAGAGUGAAAUAGAUAAUAUUAAGAGAGAGAACUGAGAGGUCAAUUGUAGUCUGAGGCUUCCUGUAUCAUCUCAGAGGACAUGGGGUUCAGUGAAUAAUCUCAGAGCUGAGGUCCAAGGCAGCUAAUAUCACUGUAGGGAAUGGUGGAUUGUCAUGAAGCCAAAGUUGUACAGCACAAAAACAGGCCCUUCGGCCUAUCACAUCUGUUUUGACCGUCAUACCCACCUACACUAAUCCCACUUGCCUACAUUAAUUCCAUAUCCCUCUGUGCCUUGCUCAUUGAAGUAGCUUUGCAGAUGCCUCAGGUGUUGUUCCACAGUCCCUGAAAGUGGCAUCACAGGCAGACAGCAUUGGGGAGAAGGUGUACGGUCUGCUGGCUUUCAUCAGCCAAAAAAUUGAGUACAUGUGUUGUGACAUCAAGUUUUAGAUGUACAAUGAGAUGGUUAGGCUGGAUUUGGAAUACUGAGUACAGCUCUUGUCACCAGACUGCAGAAGUGAUGUGAUGAAGCUCGAUUUGAUUGUACUGUAGUGGAGACAGUUGGCAUGAGAUGUAUGGAGAAUGAGAAGUGUAAUAGAUUGAGAGAUAGAUUCAAUAAAUAGACAUACCAUGUUACACAUGGUACGGGUAUCAAAAGCUAGAGAGCAUAGGUUAAAGUGACAGUAAAGGGAUCUGCGGGGUAAGUUGCUCUCACAAACAAUAAUUAGCAUCUUUGAUGAGGGACAGAGGAAGUGGUAAAGGCAGGUACCCAUGAGCUCUCUGUUCAACACUCCCCAGGACACUGCCAUUCACUGUGAGCGUCCUUCACUGGUUUAAAUAUAGUCUUUGAUUUGUGUAACAUGGAAGUAGGCCUUUUGGACCAACCCGUUCCUGCAGAACAAAUAGCCAACCUGAGUUAUACCCAGCCUGAAUUUAUCCCAUAUCCCUCUCCAGCUCUCUUAUCAACAUACCUGCCAAAAUGACUUUUAAAUAUAGUAAAUAUACCCACUUCUGCAGUACAUUCUGGCAGUUUAUUCCACUUACCCACCAUCGUCUGUGUGAAAAAAAUUGUUAUAUCUUCAUUGUCUCACAAUAUAUUUAUGUCAUUUACUUAUGGAAUUCCUUACCCUGGGGGAAAUCUACCUUAGUGAUGUAUCUCAUCAUUCCAUAAGUGCACCCCUCAGCCUCCUCCACUCCAGGGAAACAGUCCCACUCUAUCCACUCUCUCUGUAUAACUCAAACCCUCCAGUCCCAGUGACAUCCUUGUGAAUGUUUUCUACUCCCUUUGCAGCUGAAAUAACAUCCUUCCCGUGGUCUCGUGACCAAAACUGCAGAGUUGGCCAAAUGCAGUCUCACUAGCAUCUUGUGCAGUUUAUUUAUUUAUUUAGAGAUACAGUCCAGAACAGGCUCUUCUGGACCAAUGAGCCACACCACCCAGGCACCCACCCAUUUACUUCUAACCUAAUCGCAAGACAUUUUACAAUUACCAAUUAACCCCCUAACUGAUAUGUCUUCAGUGUGGGAGGAAAUCCAUGCUUUCACGGGGAGAAUGUACCCUCCUUACAGAUGGCACUGAAAUGGAACUCCGGACUCUGGAAUGCCCGGAGCUGUAACAGUGUUGUGUUAACUGCUAUGCUGUAACAUGACAUCCAGGGUACUGUACUCAAUAAUCUAACUGAAGAAGACAAAUGUACCGAAUGCCUUCUUCACCACCCUCUCUACCUGUGUCAACACUUUGUCUCUGUUUUACAACUCCCACAGAGACCUGUCAUUCACUAUGUAAGCCCGGCUCUGAAAUAAAUUAUCAAAAUUCAUGUCUGUACUUGGCUCAGUUAAAUCUUCCAUCAUCCAUUGCCUGUCCCAGACUAAUAAUUAGUAUAAUUCUCAUUGUAAGCUCACUGUCCAUGAGACCAUCUAAACUGGAAUUUUCUGAUUUGGUUGCUGGUGACUAGUGGUGUUCCACAGGGGUUGGUGUGGGACCACUUCUUUUCAUAUUAUAUGUCAGUGAUUUGGAUUUUGGAACUGAUGACUUUGUGGUCAAGUUUGCAAACGAUACAAAAUAGAUGGAUGGGUAGGUAGAAAUGAGGAAGCAGAGAGUGUGCAGAAUGACUUGGGCAGAUUGGGAGAAUGGGCAAAAAAGUGGCACAUGCAACAUGGUGUAGGGAAGUGUAUGGUCAUGCACUUUGUCUACACCUUUAUUCCUUCUACCAAUCUCCUAAAAGGGGAGAAUUUUUUUUUAAAUUCAGAGGAGCAGGGGAUGGGAGUCAUCGUGCAGGAUUCCCGAAAGGUUAAUUUGCCAGUUCAGUCAAUGCUAAGGAACGCUUGGCGGUUAGAAUUAAUUUCAAGCGGACUAGAAUAUAAAAGCAAGGAUGUGAUGCUCAAGCUUUAUGAGGCAUUGCUCAAGUUGCACUUGGAGUUUUUGAGCAAUUUUGCACCACUUAUCUGAGAAUAGAUGUGCUGCCAUUGAAGAUGGUCCAGAGAAGGCUCACAACACUGAUUCUGGGAAUGAAAGAUUUAACAUAUGAGGAGAGUUUGAUGGCUCUGGGCCUGUACUAAGAGUUUAGAAGUAUGAGGAGGGAUCUCAAAUGAAAGGCCUAGAUAGACAGGAUGUUUCCUGUAGUGUGUGAGUUUAGUACUAGAGGGCACAGUCUCUGAAUAAAGGGACAACCAUUUAGACAGAUGUGACGGAAUUUGUUUUGAGAGAGCGUGAUGGUUCUGUGGACUUCAUUGCCAGGCGCAGCUGUAGAGGUCAAAACACGGAGUAUUUUUUUAAAGCAGCGGUUGAUAGGUUCUUGAUUAGUCAGGGCUUCAAUGUCUGAUACAUGUAUGGUUGUGAGUUUUAUAUUAUAUUGGAUUUACAGUAUUAAUUGUGAACUGUGAAAAUUAAGCUGCAGUCUUUGUCUCCAAAAUGAUUUUAGACGAUUUGUGUUGAAAGAAUAUCUGGGGAAAUAUCAUAUGCCUCUGACACGGUCUCUACAUUGGUGAGACCCAUGCUAAAUUGGACUGCUUCAUUGAGCACCUCCAUUCCAACUGCCAGAAGUGAAGCUUCCCAGUGGCCCAAAAUUCGGAUUCAUGCCCUCCUCUUGUGCCACCAUGGGGCCACCCUCAGCAUGUAGGAGCAAUGCCUUAUAUUCUGUCUUGAGUAACCUUUAAACUGAUGACAUGAAUAUUGAUUUCUCCUUCCAGUUUAAAAAAAGCAUUCCUUCCCUCUCCUCUGAUCUUCUAUUCCCCACUGUCCUCCUACCUCUUCUCAUCCUGGUGCUCUUACUCCUUCAUUUUUUCCUAUGGUCCAUUCUCCUCUCCUAACAAAUUGCUUUGUCUCCAGUCCUUUUCCUUUCCUACCCACUUCACUUAACCUGUCACCUUCUAGCUAUCCUUCUUCCUCUCCCCCACCUUUGUGUUCUCUUAUCUUCCCCCUGCUUUCCAGUCCCGAAAAAGAGUCUCGCCCCAAAAGAUCGACUGUUUGUCUAUUUUCCCUGGUUGUUGCCUGACCUGUUGAGUUCCUCCAGAAUUUUAUGUAUGUUGUUUUCGAUUUCCAGCAUCUGCAGAAUCUUUAACAACUUUGUUUGCUGCAAGUAUCUUCUCCUGAACAGGGAGAGGGAACCCACCACUAAAAUAGUGGGUAAAGGCAGCUGAACUCACCAUGAAGAAUAAACUAUUCUUUGAGGAUUGUGUAGUUACAGUAUUAUCUCUGUUUAGUGAGAGUAUUUGUGGCAACUUAUAUCUGAUAGGUCUAACUAUCCUCGCUUGAGUUUAGAAGUUCACAGCCGGCAAACCCAAUACCAUCACAUAACUCAGGCCUCAAUUCCAUCCGUUAUUCUUCUAAAUCUUCUUUGCUACUUAAUGAAUAGCAAGUUGGAUGCGUUUAAAAGUGGAACAGCAAGUGUCUGGGAACAGAAUGUUCCUGUUGGUGUGAAGGGUAAACAAGCAGUUUUAGGGAAACUUGGUUCAUUGAGGAAGUUGGUAUGACAGCUUAGACUGGUGAGACUGUCAAGUCCGGUUUAUUGUCAUUUAACAAUAUAUAUUUAUACCGUCAAACGAGACAUUGCUCAAAACUAGAGUGCACAGCACCAUAAACAAACAUAACACAUAAUAACUUAUGAAAUUAAGGAUGAAAUCUAUAGAUUGAUUACACAUAAAUAAAGAAAUAAAGUGUGUAAAUUAAAUAUUGCAAGAUAUUUAAAGUGAACAGAUAAGGCUAACAGAUACUACAGGAAGGAUGUGGAAGCCAUAGAAAGGGUGCAGAGGAGAUUUACAAGGAUAUUGCUUGGAUUGGGGAGCUUGCCUUAUGAGGAUAGGUUUAGUGAACUUAGCCUUUUCUCCUUGGAAUGACGGAGGAUGAGAGGUGACCUGAUGGAGGUGUAUAAGAUGAUGAGAGUCAUUGAUCAUUUGGAUAGAGGCUUUUUCCCAGGGUUGAAAUGGUUGCCACAAGAGGACACAAGUUUAAGGUGUUGGGGAGUAGGUACAGAGGAGAUGUCAGGGGUAAGUUUUUUACUUAGAGAUUGGGGAGAGCAUGGAAUGGGCUGCCGGCAACGGUGGUGGAGGCGGAUACGAUAGGGUCUUUUUAAGAGACAUCUAGAUAGGUACAUGGAGCUUAGAAAAAUAGAGAGCUAUAGGUAAGCCGAGUAAUUUCUAAGGUAGGGACAUGUUCAGCACAACUUUGUGGGCCGAAUGGACUGUAUCGUGCUGAAGGUUAUCUAUGUUUCUAGCCCCAGUUUGAAUGCGAUGUGGCUGUGUUUGUAAGUCCGAUCGCAUUGCCGGAAUUCGCCGUCUCUCCUGUGGAAAAUAAAAAAAGAUUUCCCUAUCACGGGAUGGCCCAGCUCCACAGCUCAGUCCUGAAGUGGGAAUUAACUACAAACUUUUGGUUGGUUUUAAUAUUACAGUUGGAAAACAGCGAAUGCUGGAGAGAACGAAGUCAGUGCAACAGUGAAACAGAUUUAUAUGGAAACUUUGGCCUUUAAUUCGGACAAACUUUUUU